rnacentral:tRNA from 1 species
GUCUCUGUGGCGCAACAGGUUAGCGCGCUUUGCUGUUAACUGAAAGGUUGGUGGUUCAAGCCCUUCCAGAAUCG